rnacentral:rRNA from 1 species
ACCUACGGGUGGCAGCAGUGGGGAAUCUUAGACAAUGGGGGCAACCCUGAUCUAGCCAUGCCGCGUGAGUGAUGAAGGCCUUAGGGUUGUAAAGCUCUUUCAGCUGGGAAGAUAAUGACGGUACCAGCAGAAGAAGCCCCGGCUAACUCCGUGCCAGCAGCCGCGGUAAUACGGAGGGGGCUAGCGUUGUUCGGAAUUACUGGGCGUAAAGCGCACGUAGGCGGAUUGGAAAGUUGGGGGUGAAAUCCCGGGGCUCAACCCCGGAACUGCCUCCAAAACUACCAGUCUUGAGGUCGAGAGAGGUGAGUGGAAUUCCGAGUGUAGAGGUGAAAUUCGUAGAUAUUCGGAGGAACACCAGUGGCGAAGGCGGCUCACUGGCUCGAUACUGACGCUGAGGUGCGAAAGCGUGGGGAGCAAACAGGAUUAGAUACCCUUGUAGUC